rnacentral:miRNA from 1 species
CGCAUUUUCUCAGCAGCCAAG